AGUGGCGGACGGGUGAGUAACGCGUGAGAAUCUGCCUUGGGGUCGGGGACAACCACUGGAAACGGUGGCUAAUACCGGAUAAGCCGAUUGGUGAAAGAUUUAUUGCCCGAAGAGGAGCUCGCGUCUGAUUAGCUAGUUGGUGAGGUAAGAGCUCACCAAGGCAGCGAUCAGUAGCUGGUCUGAGAGGACGAUCAGCCACACUGGGACUGAGACACGGCCCAGACUCCUACGGGAGGCAGCAGUGGGGAAUUUUCCGCAAUGGGCGAAAGCCUGACGGAGCAAGACCGCGUGAGGGAGGAAGGCUCUUGGGUUGUAAACCUCUUUUCUCAGGGAAGAAGCUCUGACGGUACCUGAGGAAUCAGCCUCGGCUAACUCCGUGCCAGCAGCCGCGGUAAUACGGAGGAGGCAAGCGUUAUCCGGAAUUAUUGGGCGUAAAGCGUCCGCAGGUGGCGAUUCAAGUCUGCUGUCAAAGCACGGGGCUUAACUCCGUAAAGGCAGUGGAAACUGAAUAGCUAGAGUGCCGUAGGGGUAGAGGGAAUUCCCGGUGUAGCGGUGAAAUGCGUAGAGAUCGGGAAGAACAUCGGUGGCGAAAGCGCUCUACUGGACGGCAACUGACGCUCAGGGACGAAAGCUAGGGGAGCGAAUGGGAUUAGAUACCCC
rnacentral:rRNA from 1 species